rnacentral:rRNA from 1 species
UUCCAGACUCCUACGGGAGGCAGCAGUGGGGAAUAUUGCACAAUGGGGGAAACCCUGAUGCAGCGACGCCGCGUGAGUGAGGAAGUAUUUCGGUAUGUAAAGCUCUAUCAGCAGGGAAGAAAAUGACGGUACCUGACUAAGAAGCCCCGGCUAACUACGUGCCAGCAGCCGCGGUAAUACGUAGGGGGCAAGCGUUAUCCGGAUUUACUGGGUGUAAAGGGAGCGUAGACGGCAUGGCAAGUCAGAUGUGAAAGCCCGGGGCUCAACCCCGGGACUGCAUUUGAAACUGUCAGGCUGGAGUGCAGGAGAGGUAAGUGGAAUUCCUAGUGUAGCGGUGAAAUGCGUAGAUAUUAGGAGGAACACCAGUGGCGAAGGCGGCUUACUGGACUGUAACUGACGUUGAGGCUCGAAAGCGUGGGGAGCAAACAGGAUUAGAUACCCUAGUAGA